rnacentral:tRNA from 1 species
AGAGGUGAGCAUAGCUCACUGGUAGAGCAUCUGAUUUGCAUGCAGAAGGUUCUCAGGUUCAAUCUCUGGCAUCUCCA